CUUAGAAGUACUGUGCCUUUAACCAACAGGAGCUGUAGCAGGUACCCUUGGACCUGAUCCUGAUCCCACACAUAGAAGGGCCCAAUGAAAAAAUACACGCACCUUUGACAUGGAUCUCACCUGAUCCAGAAACCCAUGCUCAUUUAUCGAAUUAAAGUGUUACAGAGCACAUCGGGAACUUAAGCCUUUCAAAUGAAUCCAUUUUCACGUACUCGAGUCAUAUAACAGAACAAAUUCCAGCUAAACCGCAUUGUUAAAGGAAAGGCUGGCGCCCGGUACUCAAAAGCUCAUUCGCACAGUCCGGGGUCCUGGCGGAGCGGUGCAAAAGUGAUACAGAGCAACGCUGUUGUUAGGUGGCAAGGCGGAAGAAAGGAAGCAAGUUCUAGAAACAGCACAAAACCCUUGUCUUUGCCAGUGCUUUGCAGAGGAUCGACAUAAAGCCGGCUUCACUUGAGGGUAAUGUCAGCACCCGUUUGUUCGACCCUAGAACAUUCCUCCAAAGGGUUUCACAUUUCAGCACCUGUUCUGACUCUGCAGCCAAAAGGGGGGAAGAAAACCCACAGCAUGUGAUAUCAAUUUCUCCAUGCAUGAGACACUUCUUUGCUUUGGGAAAUUGAGGAAGAAAAUGAAGAGGAUUUUUUGUUGUUGUUGUUGUUGUUUUGUGUUUGCAUGUAAAGAGCUUGUAAAGUCGGAUGAUUCAUAUACAUUUAAACAAAAAUAUGUAGCAUGAAUAUGUACACACUGAAUUAUCUCCAGAGAGGGAAUUCAGUUUGUUUCUUUGGGGAAAGCCAUUCGGAGGGUAGACAGACCAUAACAUCCACACAUGAAUCCAUGCCCACUGGACUUGAAGCUUGUGUUUUUACAUAUUUCGGUUUAUCGUGGUUGUGAAGCUCUCAGGAACGGAGAAUGCUGUAGAGAAGAACAAUAUCCCCGAAUUAAUGAUGCAAUGCCCGUCAUUCGCUAUGAGGCAGUUUGCAAGCCCUAGGAUAUGUCCUGUGCCACGGGCGUUAUUGUUUUCAAUGAAAUGUGUUCCACGUACAAGCACUUUCAUAUACAUAUGCUGUGUGGAAAGAGACACAUACUUACUUAUGCACAGGAUCUAAAUAGCACCACACAUACACACUUUUUUUUUGUUCAACUCUGUGUGCAUGUGUGUUUGUGUGUGUGUGUGUGUGUGCGCACAUGUUUGUGUGCACACAUGCAUGUGUGCAUGUUUGUGUGUCUUUGAAUGUGUAUGUUUUUGUGCAUGCAUGUGUGUGUGUGUGUUUAGUACUCAUCAGUUAUUACUGGGUUCCAGUGAGCUGCCGUCAGGAAUGGAAGUCAGGGUGAGGGAAUAUAAAAAUAAAUAUAAUCUUGAUAAUUCAGUCCCAAGUUCUUGCUAUCAUCUGCCAUAUACGGAUUGACAGAAGAGAACCUCAGCAUAGCUCCUGAACAAAGACAGGGUCUUUAACAAGUCCGUGCCCCCCCCCCCAAGGAAUGAGAUGCUAUCAUAUAAGAAAAGGGUGCGCUUCUACGGAGAGCUGGACAGAAGGGCGCAGGUGCAGAUCUCACCUUUAGUUCAACAACAGCUCAAUACUGGUAUACUGUACUUGUUGAGGUCUUCUCGUUAUGCAAGCAGAAGACUUGCAAGAUAAUCUAACUUGGAUGUAACAACUUUUAUUAAUAAAAA
rnacentral:lncRNA from 1 species